rnacentral:misc_RNA from 1 species
UAAUAAGUGUUUUAUUAUGGCACUUUUUAAAUCCAUAUCCACCUUGUGUGCAAUGUCAGUCGAUCUUCUUCAUGGAGAUCGACCAAACAUCGACCCUUUAUCUUUUAAACUCUUUGUCCGUAAAAAUAUUAUGAAUAAAACAAUUCAAAAUAC